UAGCUCACUUGGUAGGGCAUGGCACUUGCAAUGCCGGGGUUGUGGGUUCGAUUCCCAU
rnacentral:tRNA from 1 species